CGUAGGGGGCUAGCGUUGUCCGGAUUUAUUGGGCGUAAAGAGCGUGUAGGCGGCCAAGUAAGUCCGGUGUGAAAACUCGAGGCUUAACCUCGAGAUGUCAUCGGAAACUAUUUGGCUAGAGUCCGGAAGAGGAGAGUGGAAUUCCUGGUGUAGCGGUGAAAUGCGCAGAUAUCAGGAAGAACACCUAUGGCGAAAGCAGCUCUCUGGGACGGUACUGACGCUGAGACGCGAAAGCGUGGGGAGCGAACAGGAUUAGAUACCCUGGUAGUCCACGCCGUAAACGAUGGGUGCUAGGUGUGGGCGGUGUCGACUCCGUCCGUGCCGAAGCUAACGCAUUAAGCACCCCGCCCUGGGGAGUACAGCCGCAAGGCUA
rnacentral:rRNA from 1 species